rnacentral:tRNA from 1 species
GCUGUGGCUCAGUAGAAGAGCAUCUGCUUGGCACGCAGAAGGGCCCAGGUUCAAUCCUCGGCAUCUCCA